GAUGAACGCUGGCGGCGUGCCUAAUACAUGCAAGUCGAGCGAACAGACGAGGAGCUUGCUCCUCUGACGUUAGCGGCGGACGGGUGAGUAACACGUGGAUAACCUACCUAUAAGACUGGGGUAACUUCGGGAAACCGGAGCUAAUACCGGAUAAUAUAUUGAACCGCAUGGUUCAAUAGUGAAAGACGGUUUUGCUGUCACUUAUAGAUGGAUCCGCGCCGCAUUAGCUAGUUGGUAAGGUAACGGCUUACCAAGGCAACGAUGCGUAGCCGACCUGAGAGGGUGAUCGGCCACACUGGAACUGAGACACGGACCAGACUCCUACGGGAGGCAGCAGUAGGGAAUCUUCCGCAAUGGGCGAAAGCCUGACGGAGCAACGCCGCGUGAGUGAUGAAGGUCUUCGGAUCGUAAAACUCUGUUAUUAGGGAAGAACAAAUGUGUAAGUAACUAUGCACGUCUUGACGGUACCUAAUCAGAAAGCCACGGCUAACUACGUG
rnacentral:rRNA from 1 species